ensembl:lncRNA
CCAGGAAGUCAGCAUGGUCUGUAACGUUUGACCCCUCAUCAGUACACCUUGAUGGAACCAGGUUAGCAACAUUUGACUAGUUGAUGAACAGAGUUUCUGUAAAACUGCAUGUUUUGGUUCACCUCAUGUUAGUUAUAGUGACUCUCCCCAUGGACUGAUCUGACCAGGUUCUCUCCCGAUGGACUGAUCUGACCAGGUUCUCUCCCGAUGGACUGAUCUGACCAGGUUCUCUCCCCAUGGACUGAUCUGACCAGGUUCUCUCCCCAUGGACUGAUCUGACCAGGUUCUCUCCCGAUGGACUGAUCUGACCAGGUUCUCUCCCGAUGGACUGAUCUGACCAGGUUCUCUCCCGAUGGACUGAUCUG